AGCGAACGCUGGCGGCAGGCCUAACACAUGCAAGUCGAACGAACUCUUCGGAGUUAGUGGCGGACGGGUGAGUAACACGUGGGAACGUGCCUUUUGGUUCGGAAUAACUCAGGGAAACUUGUGCUAAUACCGAAUGUGCCCUUCGGGGGAAAGAUUUAUCGCCAUUAGAGCGGCCCGCGUCUGAUUAGCUAGUUGGUGAGGUAACGGCUCACCAAGGCGACGAUCAGUAGCUGGUCUGAGAGGAUGACCAGCCACACUGGGACUGAGACACGGCCCAGACUCCUACGGGAAGCAGCAGUGGGGAAUCUUGCGCAAUGGGCGAAAGCCUGACGCAGCCAUGCCGCGUGAAUGAUGAAGGUCUUAGGAUUGUAAAAUUUUUUCACCGGGGACGAUAAUGACGGUACCCGGAGAAGAAGCCCCGGCUAACUUCGUG
rnacentral:rRNA from 1 species